rnacentral:rRNA from 1 species
CCUACGGGAGGCAGCAGUGGGGAAUAUUCCGCAAUGGACGAAAGUCUGACGGAGCAACGCCGCGUGAGUGAUGAAGGUUUUCGGACUGUAAAGCUCUGUUGUUUAGGACGAAAGUGCCUGCUGCGAACAGUUGCAGGUAUUGACGGUACUGAACGAGGAAGCCACGGCUAACUACGUGCCAGCAGCCGCGGUAAU